AGAGUUUGAUCCUGGCUCAGAACGAACGCUGGCGGCAUGCCUAACACAUGCAAGUCGAACGAACCCUUCGGGGUUAGUGGCGCACGGGUGCGUAACGCGUGGGAAUCUGCCCUUUGGUUCGGAAUAACAGUUAGAAAUGACUGCUAAUACCGGAUGAUGACUUCGGUCCAAAGAUUUAUCGUCAGAGGAUGAGCCCGCGUAGGAUUAGGUAGUUGGUGGGGUAAAGGCCUACCAAGCCGACGAUCCUUAGCUGGUCCGAGAGGAUGAUCAGCCACACUGGGACUGAGACACGGCCCAGACUCCUACGGGAGGCAGCAGUGGGGAAUAUUGGACAAUGGGGGAAACCCUGAUCCAGCAAUGCCGCGUGAGUGAUGAAGGCCUUAGGGUCGUAAAGCUCUUUUACCCGGGAUGAUAAUGACAGUACCGGGAGAAUAAGCUCCGGCUAACUCCGUGCCAGCAGCCGCGGUAAUACGGAGGGAGCUAGCGUUGUUCGGAAUUACUGGGCGUAAAGCGCACGUAGGCGGUUAUUCAAGUCAGAGGUGAAAGCCCGGGGCUCAACCCCGGAACUGCCUUUGAAACUAGAUGACUAGAAUCUUGGAGAGGUCAGUGGAAUUCCGAGUGUAGAGGUGAAAUUCGUAGAUAUUCGGAAGAACACCAGUGGCGAAGCGACUGACUGGACAAGUAUUGACGCU
rnacentral:rRNA from 1 species